rnacentral:tRNA from 1 species
GCCCCGGUCGUCUAGCCUGGCCAAGGACACCGCCCUUUCACGGCGGCGACACGAGUUCAAAUCUCGUCCGGGGUA